rnacentral:rRNA from 1 species
UAUAGAGGUCUCAAGCGUUGUUCGGAAUUACUGGGCGUAAAGGGUGCGCAGGCUGCGCGGGAAGUCAAAUGUGAAAUUCAGGGGCUCAACCCCUGCAUUGCGCUUGAUACUUCCGCGCUCGAGCUUUGGAAAGGAGUCUGGAAUUCUCGGUGUAGCAGUGAAAUGCGUAGAUAUCGGGAGGAACACCUGUGGCGAAAGCGGCGCACUGGACCAUAACUGACGCUGAGGCGCGAAAGCUAGGGGAGCAAACAGG